AAAUACACCAAGGUUGUGAGUUUGAUCCCUUGUUGGGGCAUAUACAAAAACAACCAAUGAAUGUAUAGAUAGGUGGAACAACAAAAUAAGUUUUUCCCUCUAAAAUCAAUAACAAAAAAGUAGAACCCAGGUUGUUGACAUUUAAGAUCUACUACAUAAGAACUGCGACUAGUAUCUUUUAGGGAAAAUGAGAAAGUAAAUGCCCCAGACAUAAGUUUAUCUCCCAUUUGGCGAAGACUACAAAUACGUUGUGUUCUUUCCCCACACAUUUCCCAAGGAAAUAAAACAGCCAUAUGAAACAAAGGCCAUAUGGUGAAACAAAAGUUCCAUAACUAUUUAAAGCAGGUUUUUAAAAAAUAAGUUGGAGUUCAUCCUGCAAUUUGCUCUACCUUCACAUUAUACUUGGUAUUUUUUCUACCCUCUAAAAAUUUCAAGGUUUCUGGGGUUUGUGUUGGUAAUUUACAGCUGAAAGGAUUUAAUAGCUCUUCUCCCUCUCCACCCCUUAUGGAUAUCAGUUUGUUUCCACAUAGCUUGUAUAGAAAGCUAUAAAGCAGUUAAGACAGAAACAUUGGACUGAAAAAAAAAUAUUAAAGUUAAGAGUGAUUUUCAAGCCCUUUUGAUCCAUAUGGGGCGCAGUAGGCCAAUAUCUAAAUUAGCACAUCAGUAUUUGUCAACUACCAAGGCAUUGGGAGAGGCACCUCGCACAGACACCAGAGUGGUGUUACUGGACAGCGCCCUGAGUUAUUGGAAGAGGGCUGUCCAAACCUUGAUCCUAUCUUCUCUCAUAAAUGAAUUUAUACAAGAGACCAUUGUGUUAUAAAAGCCAAUUAAAAUAAUUCAAGCAUGCAACUUUAUUUUAAAAAAGCAAAGAAAGCAAACCUAUACAUCUGGUUUAUGAAGUGCAGAUGGGCUCUCAGCUAAUCAAGAGUUGGUUUGGGAUCUGAGGUGUUAUCUACCCUCCUAUCUAUAGGGUUCAAAAUUUCUUUGCUGAGUAUUUUGAUAAAGAUUAAUUCCCAAGGUCCCUUUUUUGUUGUAGCCUUCCCAGAAUUCAUGAGAAGCACCUGGCAACUUUAUCUUGUCGAGCCUUGAGACUGUUGGCUUCUCUGCAAAGAAAUAAAACCCCUGUUUUUCUUUUCCCCCUUCCUUUCUGCAUUCUCUCCUCUGGGAGGUUUUUAACCAUUUGUUCUCAAGUUUUCUUGGCUGGAUAAGAUAGGCUUGUUAGUUAUAAACUGGCUGUAAAUUGGCCACACUUGCCUUAUUUUAACCUCUGUUAACCUACUCCUCCUGCUCUGGAAUUGUAAUACAGUAUAAGGACCUUAUUGCCAUUCUAAAUGUCAAGGAUUUCUGAAUUCUGCAUUACACUUGGUCCCAAGGGUUUAGGAUAAGAGAUUGUCCACCUAUAGUUGCUUCCUUUUCAAAAUAGUCAUCUGGGUGAUUUGGUACUAAAAGCAUAAACACUGGCAAUGUGCCUUAAACUUUACAGAACCUUAAUUUUCAGUAUUAUUUUUUAACUUGUAGUUCUUAUGCAGGCUACCUGACACAAUUUUAUAUUUUGAAAAUAAUUGUGGACAUACUGCAUCAUUAAUACUUGACCUGGAAGAGUAGAACCAGUGACUAAUUGUGGGCCAAUGAGAGAAAAGCCACCUCUAAAAUUCACAGUGAUCUUCGAAAGCUGAUUGCCAUGUCUAGGACAACUUGAUCCUACCUUCUAACUCCCUGUCAGCACAAAGUUGCAAAAUGACUGGCUCAUAAACCAGUAAGUUGUCUUUGGUGGCCAGAUGUUACCUUUGCCUGGAGUUAAUAAUACACUCUUCUGCCUGGCACUUACACAGUAGAUAUGCAGAAAAUAGUUUGUAAACAAGUUGCAAGUUGUUAAAUUAUAAAACUAAUGGAUUGUUUAGUCCUGUAACACUUAAGUUUAUUUUCUAAAGGAAGCCUGCAAAAUUACUCCAGAAUGACUGUGUUGGUGACAGUAAUUACUGUUUUCCUUUGGGAUCUGAUUCUUUAUGUAAAAAUUUUUAAGAUGCAGGUUUGUCAAUGGUUGUUCCAUCCUUAAUUUCUUUAAAACACACACACACACACACACACACUUCGCAAUUAGAUAAAGUAUUUUUAGAUAAAUUACCUCCAUUUGGUCUGUUCUGUCACCCAGUAAGGUUUGUUUUUUUUGUUUUUUUAAUCAUCAGCCACAGUUCUAUGAAGGGAUAUUAAAGGGUCUCCUGUUGUACAUUAUAGCACUAAUGUUCAUAAUAGAACAUUAAGAUAGGUUGAAGGUUUCUAUCAUCAGCCUACACUCAGUCUUGCCCUACCUCUGCCUCAUAUUUCCCACUUGUUUAUAUAUCAUUAACUAUAUUGCGAGUACAUAGUACAUUGUUAAAUUCCUUUGAGAGCAGGUACUAUAACAUAUUUUCAUAUUUCCUAUGUUUAAAACACUUGUUUCUUCAGCAGAUAUUCAUUGAAUAUCCACUAGGUGUCAGAUAUACGAGGCAGAUGCUGGGGACAUCAAGAUAACUAAGCACAGACAUGCCCUUAGGAGGCUAACAGUUGGGGUGGGGGGUGGGGAAUAGAUCUGUAAGC